rnacentral:lncRNA from 1 species
AUAAAUAUGUAACACACCUAUAAAAUGAAACAUGUUGCACACCAUAAAAACGCAUGUUUUAGUGAGCUUCUAACAAGUCAUUUCCACACCAAACUAGUAAAAUGAACCUACCCAAUACCGGACCAUAGUCAUCAAUUAAUGUUUAACAUUCUCUUCUGCUUUUUAACCUACCAACCCAUGUUUUUCAGCAAAUAAAAAUUAAGCCCUCACCUUAUCCUUCCCAAGGUUACUAGGCUAAAACUCAAGUCAAAAUAGAAACUGUUUGAAUCCCACUUCAGUGUGCCCCUAAUUUUGGUACCCAAUAUGAACAUAUCACAAUAGAGUCCAGACAACUACCGUCAGUUGCUGAACCAUUUAUAAGCAAUGAGACAUAAAGAUAUGGCUCAGAAGUAGCCAUCUUACUUUAUAUGUAACAUAAUAUAUCAUGGUUGGUUGGCUAUGUCCUGGCUCUAAUUCACUUCAAUUUUGUAGAAAAUUAUUGAGAUACAAUUAUUAGAGAGGGAAAUAAAGCAGAAGAUGCCAAGAUGCCAAAAUGAACCUAUGAAAAUUAACUUCCUAGAGUUUUACAAGAUGAGAUACAAAUCAGGCCACUGAGUCAUUUGAUUCUUAGCUCAACUUGCAUUGGGGAGCCAAUGGAACAAAAUAAAGAAAGAAACAACUCUACUUUCUUGAAGAUAAGAAGGCCACCACGUCCAUUUUGGACAGAUCUAGCCAUUCAUCUUUUCUAUAUGUCAUAGAGCUAACUGGACCGGUGCACCUUUUGGUUAUCAGGAAUCUGAAAGAUAAUAAUGGAGAGAUAGGACUGAACCUUAGCUUUUUUGAAGAUAUUGAACCAACAGUUUAAAAAAGAGGAAAUAAUUCACAAAGCGUAAACAGUUUUUUCGUGCUCCUGAUGAAACAACAUUAAUAUGCAACUUACUUCCCGACCAUAAACUAUACUCAAAAGGGGUGACAGAGACGAUUGUUGAUGUUCAGGUUUCUUUACUAGUACAUUAUUGUGCUCCCAAGCGUUGCAUAAAAGAGUUAUUAGUGUCUUCAGUUUUGUCCUGUAAACAGUCGAUGUAAAAAUUCCUCCACUAAUUAUACAAUUUAAUGUCAAAAGGAAUCAAGUUUCAUCAUACGGUGAGACUACACCAACUUGUAAUCACUAUCUAUAAUUAUAUAUUGUCUCACUUCCCCAUUUCCUACAAUGAAGCAAUAUUUAAAUACUGAACUUCUCAUAGACUGAGUAGAGGUUAACUAGUAAAGAAUUGGCGAACAAUAAUUAACUCAAGGGGGNNN